GCUCUGGGAAUUGUCAUAGUUUUAAAAUCCUCCUUAUUCUGAGAUUUUCAGGAGAAUUAGUUCACCAUUUCUGUUAAUCUGGUCAAAAAGAAGACAGAAUUGGGGAGAGGCCACUUGGGUACCUUGCAGACUAACAUCUGCUAUAAAUGGGAUAAUAUUUUCCUAAUCAUAGGAUUUAGGGUGAAUUUGGGGUUUUUUCUGACUAGUUUCAUCUGUGGAGGACCUUGUGCACAUUUCUCAUAUUUCUGUUAGGAUUACUAAGUUACUGUGAAUGUGAGAGGUGGAAGAGUGUCCCCUCCCCCUGGCCUCUACCUGUGCACUCCUAACAACUGGCAUUAUCUGCCUUGAAGCAGGGUGUCUUUUCUUCUACUAGUAUCUGUGAAAUUACUACCUCUUUAGCUUUCAUGUAGGGUAAAAUCUUAGCCCCUUCAAAGAUAACCUGAAAUUAUUUAUAUUUUUUAUAUAGCCUAUUUCUAAAAUUGCUUUUUUUCCACUUUAGAAAAAGUGCAAAAGGAAUAUAUAAGGCUAGAGAAAUUUGUGUGUAUGUAGCCAUGAGUUCUUCUGGGACUCUUGAUGCUUGAAUAUGACAGAUGGUUCUCUCAAUACCUGUCUCCCAGUUCUCUGUAAAAAAAAGAAAU
rnacentral:lncRNA from 1 species